rnacentral:rRNA from 1 species
UGAGGAAUAUUGGGCAAUGGGCGCAAGCCUGACCCAGCAACGCCGCGUGGAGGAAGACGGCCUUCGGGUUGUAAACUCCUUUUACGGGGGAAGAGGAAGGACGGUACCCCGUGAAUAAGUCACGGCUAACUACGUGCCAGCAGCCGCGGUAAUACGUAGGUGACAAGCGUUAUCCGGAAUUACUGGGCGUAAAGCGCACGCAGGCGGCGCGGUAAGUCUGAUGUGAAAUCUCCCGGCUUAACUGGGAGGGGUCAUUGGAAACUGUCGUGCUUGAGGCGGUGAGAGGGGUGUAGAAUUCCCGGUGUAGUGGUGGAAUGCGUAGAUAUCGGGAGGAAUACCAGUGGCGAAAGCGGCACCCUGGCACUAGCCUGACGCUCAUGUGCGAAGGCGUGGGGAGCGAACGGGAUUAGAUACCCCGGUAGUCCACGCGGUAAACGAUGAAUACUAGGUGUGGGUGGAGUGAAAUCCAUCUGUGCCGAAGCAAACGCGCUAAGUAUUCCGCCUGGGGAGUACGGCCGACG